UAGGGAAUCUUCGGCAAUGGGGGCAACCCUGACCGAGCAACGCCGCGUGAGUGAAGAAGGUUUUCGGAUCGUAAAGCUCUGUUGUAAGUCAAGAACGGGUGUGAGAGUGGAAAGUUCACACUGUGACGGUAGCUUACCAGAAAGGGACGGCUAACUACGUGCCAGCAGCCGCGGUAAUACGUAGGUCCCGAGCGUUGUCCGGAUUUAUUGGGCGUAAAGCGAGCGCAGGCGGUUUGAUAAGUCUGAAGUUAAGGCUGUGGCUCA
rnacentral:rRNA from 1 species